UACGGGGGGAGCAAGCGUUGUUCGGAUUUACUGGGCGUAAAGGGCGCGUAGGCGGCCACCGCAAGUCGACUGUGAAAUCUCCGGGCUUAACCCGGAAAGGUCAGCCGAUACUGCGGGGCUAGAGUGCAGAAGGGGCAACUGGAAUUCUCGGUGUAGCGGUGAAAUGCGUAGAUAUCGAGAGGAACACCUGCGGCGAAGGCGGGUUGCUGGGCUGACACUGACGCUGAUGUGCGAAAGCUAGGGGAGCGAAC
rnacentral:rRNA from 1 species